rnacentral:rRNA from 1 species
CUCAUUAAAUCAGUUAUAGUUUAUUUGAUGGUCUCUUUGUUCUUCUUUUUACCUACUUGGAUAACCGUGGUAAUUCUAGAGCUAAUACAUGCGCAAGGUCCCGAUCGGUGUAGGUGGGGUUAAAAACUCAUCUGUGCUGAGAGGGAUGUAUUUAUUAGGUUAAACAACCAGCAUUUUCAUUUCUGGUGAUUCAUAGUAACUCUUUCGGAUCGCAUUCAUG